GCCACUUUAGCUCUAGUGGUAGAGCGUCGCUCUCGUAAAGCGAAGGUCAAGAGUUCGAAUCUCUUAAGUGGCA